AACGAACGCUGGCGGCAUGCCUAACACAUGCAAGUCGAACGAGACCUUCGGGUCUAGUGGCGCACGGGUGCGUAACGCGUGGGAACCUGCCCUUAGGUUCGGAAUAACUCCCCGAAAGGGGUGCUAAUACCGGAUAAUGUCUUCGGACCAAAGAUUUAUCGCCUUUGGAUGGGCCCGCGUUGGAUUAGCUAGUUGGUAGGGUAAAAGCCUACCAAGGCGACGAUCCAUAGCUGGUCUGAGAGGAUGAACAGCCACACUGGGACUGAGACACGGCCCAGACUCCUACGGGAGGCAGCAGUGGGGAAUAUUGGACAAUGGGCGAAAGCCUGAUCCAGCAAUGCCGCGUGAGUGAUGAAGGCCUUAGGGUUGUAAAGCUCUUUUACCCGGGAUGAUAAUGACAGUACCGGGAGAAUAAGCGCCGGCUAACUCCGUG
rnacentral:rRNA from 1 species